GAUGAACGCUGGCGGCGCGCCUAACACAUGCAAGUCGAACGAGUGGCGAACGGGUGAGUAACACGUGACCAACCCGCCCCCCCCACCGGGACAACCUCGGGAAACCGAGGCUAAUACCGGAUAGGAGGGGACGGGGUCGCGGCCCAUCAGGUAGACGGCGGGGCGAAGGCUCGCCGUGCCGCAGACGGGUAGCCGGGCUGAGAGGCCGAUCUGCCACAGUGGGACGGAGAUAGCGCCCAGACUCGUAAGGGAGGGAGCAGUGGGGGAUAUUGCACAAUGGGCGAAAGCCUGAUGCAGCGACGCCGCGUGGGGGAUGAAGGCUUUCGGGUUGUAAACCUCGUUCGCUAUCGAACGGGUAGGUGGAGAAGAAGCGCCGGCUAACUACGUGCCAGCAGCCGCGGUAAUUC
rnacentral:rRNA from 1 species